UUCAAACAUUUCAAGCAGUGAUGGCCCAAUAAAUUCAUUUAGAAGAAUACACUAAGGAUCUUUCAAACCAUUUGCGUUUACUCAAAUCUCUGAACAUACCCUAGCUGGGUUGUAUGGAAAAUUUAUGAUGUACCAGAGGCGAUCGUUUUGCUGCAUUCUGUAGGCCUUUAGAAAUGGUAUUUUUUUCCAUUGACACUACUAGCACAUUAAAAUUAUAAGUAUGUCAAAGACAAUCAAGGAUUAAAAUGGCAAAGAAUUAAGUCAAAGUGCUGCCGUGUUACACCGUCCCGAUCAAAAGGAAGAAAGCAAAAGCAGACCGAUGGGCUACCCCUACCUUUGUAAAGAAUACUGGUUGAAAAUGAGGGAGACAAUAUACCAGUUCAGUUGGAUCAGCAACAGUUGUCCAUGUGCUGCAGUAUUUAUUGGAUCCAACCAAAUCAGAAGAGAAAACCCUGAAGCAAAUUCAUAUGGUAAUACAGAGUUUUCUAAGAGAGGAGGAUCACAGGAGUGGAACUGUUUCAUUUACCCAACACCUUGAGCUGACUGAUCAAGGGAAAUAUGAAGCAGUUUACAGAUGAAAGUUCUGCUGGAAGCACAGAGAUUAAUACUGAACAAUACAUGUUUAACCUCUGUCCGGACUCAUCAUAACAGACAGUAUUUUCAAAAUGUUGCAAUCACGAAAAACUUCUGGGAGUUGGAAAUCAGUCUUACAGAAAUUGAAGAUCAAGUAGGAACACUGCAGCAAAUUUAUAUGCUACAAAAUGUGAAAGCAUUAGAGAGUCUCAAAAUUUAUUGAUACAAACAGUCAAAUCAGGUAGAGUUGAUGAUGGAAUCCAGAGUGAGCCAACAGGAGAAAGCAUGGGUUUGGCACUGGAGAGCAGAAGAAAGCAAUACAAUUCUCCAAGAAAGAAAAGGACUACGGUACUUGUGCAUGAUAUGCAAAGAAUGUGACAGAACAGGAAAAUGCCCCAAUAGUGUCUCAUUGGCAGAUGAGCUGAAGAAAGUAACUGAUAAAAAUGGUGAAAGACUUUUUAAGAAAGACAAAUGGCUAAAUAUUUCACAAGUAAGGGGAUAUAUUGCCUCAUACAUGUAUAUUUGUCAAUAAAAUCUAAGAAUGUCUC